GGAAAGGUGGCCCAGCUUGGUACGGCACCGGACUCGAAAUCCGGCAAGUGGAUUUCUAUUCACGCGCGGGUUCAAAUCCCGUCCUUUCCUUCA
rnacentral:tRNA from 1 species